rnacentral:rRNA from 1 species
CCUACGGGGUGCAGCAGUGGGGAAUAUUGGGCAAUGGGCGCAAGCCUGACCCAGCAACGCCGCGUGAAGGAAGAAGGCUUUCGGGUUGUAACCUUCUUUUGUCAGGGAAGAGUAGAAGACGGUACCUGACGAAUAAGCCACGGCUAACUAAGUGCCAGCAGCCGCGGUAAUACGUAGGUGGCAAGCGUUGUCCGGAUUUACUGGGUGUAAAGGGCGUGUAGCCGGGUUGACAAGUCAGUUGUGAAAUCCUGCGGCUUAACCGCAGAACUGCAUUUGACACUGUUGAUCUUGAGUAUUGGAGAGGCAGACGGAAUUCCUAGUGUAGCGGUGAAAUGCGUAGAUAUUAGGAGGAACACCAGUGGCGAAGGCGGUCUGCUGGACAGCAACUGACGGUGAGGCGCGAAAGCGUGGGGAGCAAACAGGAGUAGAUACCCGGGUAGUC